AAGUUACUCCCACCGUCCGAAAAUACUUGUCGAAGAAAUGGAUGUAUCUAGACAUAUUUUAGUUAUAGAUACAUCCAGUUUUAGCCAUUUUUUGAACAAGUAUUUCCGGACGGAGGGAGUACUUC
rfam:Triticum aestivum genome assembly, contig: Triticum_aestivum_CS42_TGACv1_scaffold_405318_5BL